AACGAACGCUGGCGGCAGGCUUAACACAUGCAAGUCGAACGCCCCGCAAGGGGAGUGGCAGACGGGUGAGUAACGCGUGGGAAUCUACUCAUCUCUGGGGAUUACCUCUGGGAAACUGGAAUUAAUACCGCAUACGCCCUACGGGGGAAGGAUUUAUCGGGGAUGGAUGAGCCCGCGUUGGAUUAGCUGUUUGGUGGGGUAAAGCCCUACCAAGGCGACGAUCCAUAGCUGGUCUGAGAGGAUGAUCAGCAACAUUGGGACUGAGACACGGCCCAAACUCCUACGGGAGGCAGCAGUGGGGAAUAUUGGACAAUGGGCGCAAGCCUGAUCCAGCCAUGCCGCGUGAGUGAUGAAGGCCUUAGGGUUGUAAAGCUCCUUCACCGAUGAAGAUAAUGACGGUAGUCGGAGAAGAAGCCCCGGCUAACUUCGUGCCAGCAGCCGCAGUAA
rnacentral:rRNA from 1 species